UACGUAGGGGGCAAGCGUUGUCCGGAAUUAUUGGGCGUAAAGCGCGUGUAGGCGGCUCGGUAAGUCUGCUGUGAAAGUCCAAGGCUCAACCUUGGAAUGCCGGUGGAUACUGUCGAGCUCGAGUCCGGAAGAGGCGAGUGGAAUUCCUGGUGUAGCGGUGAAAUGCGCAGAUAUCAGGAAGAACACCUAUGGCGAAGGCAGCACUCUGGGACGGUACUGACGCUGAGACGCGAAAGCGUGGGGAGCGAACAGG
rnacentral:rRNA from 1 species